GAUGAACGCUGGCGGCGUGCUUAACACAUGCAAGUCGAACGAAGCUGCUUAACAGAUUUCCUUCGGGAUUGAUGUUUUGUAGACUGAGUGGCGGACGGGUGAGUAACGCGUGGGUAACCUGCCCUGUACAGGGGGAUAACAAUCAGAAAUGACUGCUAAUACCGCAUAAGACCACAGCACCGCAUGGUGCAGGGGUAAAAACUCCGGUGGUACAGGAUGGACCCGCGUCUGAUUAGCUGGUUGGUGAGGUAACGGCUCACCAAGGCGACGAUCAGUAGCCGGCUUGAGAGAGUGAACGGCCACAUUGGGACUGAGACACGGCCCAAACUCCUACGGGAGGCAGCAGUGGGGAAUAUUGCACAAUGGGGGGAACCCUGAUGCAGCGACGCCGCGUGAGUGAAGAAGUAUCUCGGUAUGUAAAGCUCUAUCAGCAGGGAAGAAAAUGACGGUACCUGACUAAGAAGCCCCGGC
rnacentral:rRNA from 1 species